GAGUUUAAUAUAAAUUUUAUGGGUUAAUUUGAUAUGCUAGCAUAUUGUAUUAACCCAAGUUCUCAAAUUGGUUUAGAUCAAAGUGUUUGAGAUAACCUAGACCAGUUGGCUUUGACCUAAUGGGAUUGGAUAAAUUUAGAUUGGAUCCUUAUCCAACUUGAAAGAGUUUUAAGUAGAGAAGGAGUCCUCUGUGCCUACUAGAACCCACACACAAAAAUAAAUGCUGCCCCCC
rnacentral:lncRNA from 1 species